rnacentral:rRNA from 1 species
AGAGUUUGAUCAUGGCUCAGGACGAACGCUGGCGGCGUGCCUAAUACAUGCAAGUCGAGCGGACAGAAGGGAGCUUGCUCCCGGAUGUUAGCGGCGGACGGGUGAGUAACACGUGGGUAACCUGCCUGUAAGACUGGGAUAACUCCGGGAAACCGGAGCUAAUACCGGAUAGUUCCUUGAACCGCAUGGUUCAAGGAUGAAAGACGGUUUCGGCUGUCACUUACAGAUGGACCCGCGGCGCAUUAGCUAGUUGGUGAGGUAACGGCUCACCAAGGCGACGAUGCGUAGCCGACCUGAGAGGGUGAUCGGCCACACUGGGACUGAGACACGGCCCAGACUCCUGCGGGAGGCAGCAGUAGGGAAUCUUCCGCAAUGGACGAAAGUCUGACGGAGCAACGCCGCGUGAGUGAUGAAGGUUUUCGGAUCGUAAAGCUCUGUUGUUAGGGAAGAACAAGUGCAAGAGUAACUGCUUGCACCUUGACGGUACCUAACCAGAAAGCCACGGCUAACUACGUGCCAGCAGCCGCGGUAAUACGUAGGUGGCAAGCGUUGUCCGGAAUUAUUGGGCGUAAAGGGCUCGCAGGCGGUUUCUUAAGUCUGAUGUGAAAGCCCCCGGCUCAACCGGGGAGGGUCAUUGGAAACUGGGAAACUUGAGUGCAGAAGAGGAGAGUGGAAUUCCACGUGUAGCGGUGAAAUGCGUAGAGAUGUGGAGGAACACCAGUGGCGAAGGCGACUCUCUGGUCUGUAACUGACGCUGAGGAGCGAAAGCGUGGGGAGCGAACAGGAUUAGAUACCCUGGUAGUCCACGCCGUAAACGAUGAGUGCUAAGUGUUAGGGGGUUUCCGCCCCUUAGUGCUGCAGCUAACGCAUUAAGCACUCCGCCUGGGGAGUACGGUCGCAAGACUGAAACUCAAAGGAAUUGACGGGGGCCCGCACAAGCGGUGGAGCAUGUGGUUUAAUUCGAAGCAACGCGAAGAACCUUACCAGGUCUUGACAUCCUCUGACAACCCUAGAGAUAGGGCUUUCCCUUCGGGGACAGAGUGACAGGUGGUGCAUGGUUGUCGUCAGCUCGUGUCGUGAGAUGUUGGGUUAAGUCCCGCAACGAGCGCAACCCUUGAUCUUAGUUGCCAGCAUUUAGUUGGGCACUCUAAGGUGACUGCCGGUGACAAACCGGAGGAAGGUGGGGAUGACGUCAAAUCAUCAUGCCCCUUAUGACCUGGGCUACACACGUGCUACAAUGGACAGAACAAAGGGCUGCGAGACCGCAAGGUUUAGCCAAUCCCACAAAUCUGUUCUCAGUUCGGAUCGCAGUCUGCAACUCGACUGCGUGAAGCUGGAAUCGCUAGUAAUCGCGGAUCAGCAUGCCGCGGUGAAUACGUUCCCGGGCCUUGUACACACCGCCCGUCACAC